rnacentral:rRNA from 1 species
CCUACGGGUGGCAGCAGUGAGGAAUAUUGGUCAAUGGACGAGAGUCUGAACCAGCCAAGUAGCGUGAAGGAUGAAUGCCCUAUGGGUUGUAAACUUCUUUUAUAUGGGAAUAAAACGUUCCACGUGUGGGAUUUUGUAUGUACCAUAUGAAUAAGGCUCGGCUAACUCCGUGCCAGCAGCCGCGGUAAUACGGAGGAUCCGAGCGUUAUCCGGAUUUAUUGGGUUUAAAGGGGGCGGAGGUGGAUUCUUAAGUCAGUUGUGAAAGUUUGCGGCUCAACCGUAAAAUUGCAGUUGAAACUGGCAGUCUUGAGUACAGGAGAGGUGCGCGGAAUUCGUGGUGUAGCGGUGAAAUGCUUAGAUAUCACGAAGAACUCCGAUUGCGAAGGCAGUUCACUGGACUGUCACUGACACUGAGGCUCGAAAGUGCGGGUAUCAAACAGGAUUAGAUACCCGAGUAGUC